CCUACGGGUGGCAGCAGUGGGGAAUAUUGGGCAAUGGGCGAAAGCCUGAUCCAGCAACGCCGCGUGAAGGAAGAAGGCUUUCGGGUUGUAAACUUCUUUUGACAGGGAAGAGGAGAAGACGUUACCUGUCGAAUAAGCCCCGGCUAACUACGUGCCAGCAGCCGAGGUAAUACGUAGGGGGCAAGCGUAUUCCGGAUUUACUGGGUGUAAAGGGCGGGAAGCCGGGCUGACAAGUCAGGUGUGAAAGCCGGGGGCUCAACCCCCGAACUGCAUUUGAAACUGUUGGUCUUGAGUAGCGGAGAGGCAGGCGGAAUUCCUAGUGUAGCGGUGAAAUGCGUAGAUAUUAGGAGGAACACCAGUGGCGAAGGCGGCCUGCUGGACGACAACUGACGGUGAGGCGCGAAAGCGUGGGGAGCAAACAGGAUUAGAUACCCUUGUAGUC
rnacentral:rRNA from 1 species